UACGAAGGGGGCUAGCGUUGUUCGGAAUUACUGGGCGUAAAGGGCGCGUAGGCGGUGUGUCAAGUCAGGCGUGAAAGCCCCGGGCUCAACCUGGGAACCGCGCUUGAGACUGGCACGCUCGAGUUCGGGAGAGGAUGGUGGAAUUCCCAGUGUAGAGGUGAAAUUCGUAGAUAUUGGGAAGAACACCGGAUGGCGAAGGCAGCCAUCUGGACCGACACUGACGCUGAGACGCGAAAGCGUGGGGGAGCGAACAGG
rnacentral:rRNA from 1 species